rnacentral:rRNA from 1 species
AAUAGAUACCCUGGUAGUCCACCCCGUAAACGUUGGGAACUAGUUGUGGGGUCCUUUCCACGGAUUCCGUGACGCAGCUAACGCAUUAAGUUCCCCGCCUGGGGGGUACGGCCGCAAGGCUAAAACUCAAAGGAAUUGACGGGGACCCGCACAAGCGGCGGAGCAUGCGGAUUAAUUCGAUGCAACGCGAAGAACCUUACCAAGGCUUGACAUACACCGGAAACGGCCAGAGAUGGUCGCCCCGCAAGGUCGGUGUACAGGUGGUGCAUGGUUGUCGUCAGCUCGUGUCGUGAGAUGUUGGGUUAAGUCCCGCAACGAGCCCAACCCUCGUUCUAUGUUGCCAGCACGUAAUGGUGGGAACUCAUGGGAUACUGCCGGGGUCAACUCGGAGGAAGGUGGGGAUGACGUCAAAUCAUCAUGCCCCUUAUGUCUUGGGCUUCACGCAUGCUACAAUGGCCGGUACAAAGGGCUGCAAUACCGUGAGGUGGAGCGAAUCCCAAAAGGCCGGUCCCAGUUCGGAUUGAGGUCUGCAACUCGACCUCA